rnacentral:rRNA from 1 species
UUAAAUUGAAGAGUUUGAUCAUGGCUCAGAUUGAACGCUGGCGGCAGGCCUAACACAUGCAAGUCGAGCGGUAGCACAGAGAGCUUGCUCUCGGGUGACGAGCGGCGGACGGGUGAG